UAUUAAAAUUUUCAUCCAUUUUUACUGUUAAAAAUUGGCGUGGCUGAUGAAAUAUCCAUGUCUACCUCAUGUUAACGUGAAAGUAUCAGUUUUUAACAAUAAAAAUGGAUGACCUUUUUAAUA
rfam:Gossypium arboreum cultivar AKA8401 contig_1586_1, whole genome shotgun sequence.